GUGUAUAUAUAUCUGUGUAUGAUCUCUGGAACUUUCUUAACUGAAAUACAAUUUUUCAUUCCCGCCAUUUUUCUCUCUCGUUCUCUCUCUCUCUAUAUUUCAUCAAAGUGAGAGAGACUUAGAGAAUCAGUAUCCAUCGAAAAUGGUAACUUACCAGGUUUCUUCUUGCUUAUUAUAUGCUUAAGUCAAGUCCAAGUUUUGGUACGAUCUCUGCUAUCUUCUUCGUAUUCAUAUGCACGCAUGUUUUUACUUGAUUUAGUUUUAGGGCUUCAAAUGUUCGAGGUUUAAUCACGUUUUUUACGAAGGUAUUUUUUGAGAAAGCUUGAGAAGGUGAAGAAGUGCAAUAGCCAGAUUCUCGCUAUCAGCGAGGUAAAAUUCUCAAAUUACAAGAUAAGGUGUUUUUUAUAAGCUGUAUUAUAGGUGUAGAAAGGGGAAUUUUUGAUAGUCAUAUGCAGAUUGAUAAUGGCAGUGUUUAAAAGCCUGUUUGGGGUAGUGAUUUUGAAAAUUUAUUUUUUGACCGUCAGGAGAAAAGUGGGUCUGAGAGAAAAAGUCAAAUAUGACGAUUGAAUAGCGAAACAACCGUCAAAAAAUCAAUUUUUUUGGCCAAAAAAUCACUCCCAAACAGGCUGUAAGUUCUCGUUGGCAGUGUUUAAAUUUGUCCUUGUUUAAUGAUUUUUUGAAACAGGCUAUAAGUUCUUGUUGGCAGUGUUUAAAUUUGUCCUUGUUUAUUUCACACACGAACAUAAUUAAUGCAUGUGUGUGUGUAUGAAUUCUUGCCAUUUUGUUUGUUAUUAGAAUUUUAUUUUUUUAUGGUCUUCUCUAGUUGAUACAUUGCUUUAAAAAAAAAUUAAUAAUAAUAAUAGUAAAUAAUAAAUAAAAAAAUUAGUGAGCUUUUAGUCUCUAUUUCAAUAAUUAAUGACUGAAUUUUGGAACUUUGGUUGGGCUUAUUUGUAGUAGUUAAUCAAUUGAUUAAUAAGUCAAUUGUUUUUCCUUUCUGAUAUGGUCUGUUGACUAUGGCAGGCUGUGAGGGAACUACACAAGAUUAUUCCAACUCGCAAAUGGAAAGUCAGAGAAAACAGAAUCAACAAAAUAGUUUUUAUAGGUAUGCAUUCGUAAUGUCUUAUGCGAUUUCCGAAUAUUUAAUAAAUUUUAUUAAUUCUGAAUAUGCAACUGUAAGC
rnacentral:lncRNA from 1 species